rnacentral:misc_RNA from 1 species
AAUCUUCAAAAAGCACCGCAGCAGUCGGUAGUCAGGUCAUUUGAGUAAUGAUCCGAAGCCUCCACCUAGGACAGAUGUUGGCUCUAAAGGCCUGAAAAUUAACCUGAAGACAAACUAUUUUCCAAUCAGUGUUAAAAAUAAGUUUGCAGAACUGGUUCAUUAUGAUGUCUCUCUAAAAAAACACAACAAAGAUGCAAAUCUUCCACGAAAAACGAAAAUGGAGAUAUUUGAAAAAAUGAAGAUGAUAUAUGAAAAGGAUUUCAAGAAUUACCCACUUGCUUAUGACUCAGAAAGGAAUGCAUACAGUGUGGGUGUCAUCCCUGCUCUUCAAACUCCUGAUUGCCAGAGUACUUAUG